UUUUUUUUUUGUAAUACCCAAUAGUUGCCAGAUGCUGUCCUGUUGGAAAUUCUUCUUUACGUGAUCCUGGAGGAGGGUGAUGCUACAAUAUUAAGUCUGUCUUUGGUUUGUUCCAAAUUCAGAAGUCUGCUGUACUGUAUACAGACUCCUUUCGAAAGAGGGCACAAUCCAGCUGGCUUGACUGAGUGGAACAAAAUGGAGAACAAGUCUAAGCCAUGUCAGGAAUUCAACAAAAUGUACACCCUGCAGACACUGCGACGAGGUUUACAUCAACUGCUUACCAGGUCACUGCAGUCACGCGGAUCGAGUACGUAUCCAGACCAGAUGGUGGAUCGCACCUAGAAAG